CAUCCCUUCUCGUAAUUCUUCCAUCUCUUUGUUUGUGCAUUACUUGCACUUGACACGACCUCACAGGUGGUAUGGAUAUUAUCUCAUAUACACCUGAUGAUGUCCCUGGCAAGUAUAUUCUAGGCGGAUUCCCCUUGUGCGGGUUUGGAGACUGGGGAGGCCCUGAGAGGCACAAUGAGGUUUCCUGGACAGAGAAGUGGUAAGAUAAAGGAGGUCUGAAUUCUGCUCUGCCUCCUCAAAGCUGGGACCCUCAUGACAUUGCCAGGCAGCUGUGGCUGGGGCUGUGGAAGCUCCUCAUGUAUAGUUAAGAAGAUGACAUGAGGGUGGUUUGGUUAGGUCUGAUUACAGGAAGCAGCCCAGGUAAUGGAAUCUUGAAAACGUGACCUCACUUCCUUGGCGAUAGACCCCAACAGACUUAGAACUCUUGUAACCAGGCAGUUACAUUCUAGACACAGGCCCCUAGCCAGCUCAUUUGACUGGACACACUUCAGACAACAACAUGUUUGCUUGUUGUGGCCCAGUUUUCAGAGGCUCUAGGCUCAGGAAAGCCCAGAGUGUGAGACUGUUGUGUUGUUGUAGGAGUUGGCUUAACCCUCAUCCUCGGAGCCACAGGCCAUUUGGCAGGAGGUACCCAAAGAACUCCACGCAGGAGAUCUUUGAAGAGUUAUGUGACGGGUUCGACUUCUCUCCCUCCCUAGUCAAGAGGCAGGAGCAGCAGGCCACCAGCAGCAUCCUGUGCCGGUCUGAGGAACCCACCCUGUCCGUGGCUGAGGCCCGCACGAUGCUGACCCUCAAGGCAGGCGCAGUGCAGAAGGUGGUAGGCUGCCUGCAACCAUCUUUCCACGGCAGAUCCAUCUCCGUCACCACCUUCCCGUGUGUGUACCAGGCCUUCUACCCGACCCCACAGGUCCUGGACCAGCUGCUCCAGAGCGCUGGAACCGGCAGCAGCGCCCUCAGCUGCUCCAGACCCCGAGCGAGUGCAUCAGCACCCCAGCCCAAGUGCCAGGUCCUGAACUGGACUCAACGGGACCAAGGGGCUGCUGGGAUUUCCACCUCAGGCUCCAGUAACACGCAGAAUCAGCUCCGGUUCCAGAGGCUUCCCACCCCUGUCGAGUGACCGGGAAGAAGCAGCCCGAUGGGAAGCCUAGCCUCAUGGCCUUCUCCCCAAGGGACGUGGCAGAACAGCUGACGGCCAUUGACGCGGUGAGCACCCGGGCUCUCAGGCGGGGUGGGCAGCCACCCCUAUGCCAUCAGCUGGCCCAGACCUGCUUUCCCGUGUGGCGCUCUUGACCUGGGUCCAAUCCCAGCUCCACCACUUCCAACCAUGGGAUCUGGGCAACUCCCCAGCCUUCGUGUUCCACCCUCACACUGUAGAGAUGGGGACCAAGAGGCCCUGCUGGACAGAGGGGCUGAGCACAUGGAGUGAGUAGAACACAGAGGAAGCCUGGUGGGCUGGCCCGAGAGGUCGGGAGGAGAACUCACUGUGUGCAGCCAGGAACUCAGGCGGCCAGCCAUCUGCUCGGGAUGCUCAGCAGCCUCAGCAUUUGUGAUGCACCAGACGUGUACUUCACUAAAAGGGAGACAACCUGACAAAGCCCGUGGGUGUAGCUGGCACAGGGGAAUGUGCAGCGGAAUGGGGCCUGGGACCAAGGAUGCUCAGGAUGCAGGGAGAUGCCCCCUUGGGAGGAGCCAAGCGGAGCAGCCCUCUGGAGCUUGCAGUUUGUGGGGGUGGGCUGUGUGUAAAUGCUCCUGUCCUUUCCCCACCAGUCUGGAGUCCCGGUCCUCCUGUGCUGGGUGCUCUCAGUGGAAGAACAAUGAAAGCGAGGGGCUCCCACCACGCUGAGAACACAUCCUCAGCUUCCUGAGCCCCUCCUUAGACCGGGACUCCUGCUUGGACACU
rnacentral:lncRNA from 1 species